ACUCCCCACCCCCGCCGCAGAGGAGAGGGAGAGAGAGAGAGAGAGAGAGGCUCAUUCCGCCGCGCUUGGAACCAAACACCCACAGCCAUGGAGAUCGUGCGAUCCCAACGGCAGCUCGCGGCAGCAGCCGCAGCUGCCAGCGGCGGAGGCAGCGGCGCGGGGGCUCUGCCAACGUACCGUGUGGCGCCGCAGCUGGAGGUGCGCCUGGAGGAGUUCGAGCUCUUCGCCAUCGACCGCCUCCGAGUCCUGAAGGGUAUCUCGGAUGGGCUAUCGCGGGGGAAGAGGCCCGAGGAGAUGGAGAAACUGGUAAGCGAGUUGUGGAAGGCACAUAUGAGGCACCAGGAUCCAGCAGAGACUUUAAACAAGGACAUAAUAUCUCACUUUGUACUCCGUCUUGUAUACUGCAGAACGGAGGAAUUGCGCAAGUGGUUUCUCUCCAUGGAAAAUACACUGUUUCGGUACCGCUUUCGUCUCGAGAGUCCUGAAUCACAGAGGCUUCUUAUGAGUGAGUUUCAGCUUCCAUACAAAGCAUUGCCACACUCGGAAUUCGAGGCUGUGAAAGAUAAGUUAAGCCAAGUUGCACGUUCCAUCAGUCAAUCUACAAGCGUUGAAUCUGUGUUCUUCAAGGUACCUUUUGAAGAAGUUCCAGAUCUUGUUGCCAACCGCCGAGUAUUCCUUUCAAAGGGCUAUGCUUAUGUUGCGAUGAGUCAGGUGGUUUCACUUGUGGUAACCCAAUUCCGCUGCAAUAUAUCAAAGGCACUUGUUUUAACAAAUAGGAAAUGGACUGCGACCAUUAAGGAACAAGAAAAGGACAGGUUGACUCCUAUUGUUGAGGCGUUAAGCAAUGCAUAUUUUGGACCUGAUUACUCUCAGAAAACUGAUGCUGCUGAGAUUUCGCCAAAGGAUAUUGAUCAACUGGCUAGAACUUCUUUCCCUCUUUGUAUGCGCCAUAUGCUAGAGAAGUUGAGGGAAAACCAUCAUCUCAAACACGGGGGUAGAAUGCAGUUUGGUCUUUUCCUCAAGGGUGCUGGGCUAAAGCUGGAGGAUGCUGUCACAUUUUGGAGAUCGGAAUUCUCUCAGAAGGUUGGCUCUGAGCGAUUUGACAAGGAAUAUGCAUAUGGUAUCAGACACAAUUAUGGAAAAGAAGGAAAACGAACGGAUUACACUCCAUAUUCAUGUCAAAAGAUCAUCUCUGCGACACCUGGUGUUGGUGAUCACCAUGGUUGCCCUUAUCGACAUUUUGGUGAAGAGAACUUGAGAGCAGCUCUCAACAAUAUGGGUGUCAGUGGAAAUGCUUUGGAAGGGAUACUGGAUAAAGUGAAGAACAGGCAUUACCAGCUAGCUUGCACAAUGACUUUUGAGGCAACUCACGGUGUCUCAUGUGAUACCGGAAUCAAUCAUCCUAAUCAGUAUUUCAGCGAAAGCCAGAAAGUCUUGCAAGCCAAGAACCAAACAGUACAGAGUCAGUUAUCGACCUAAGUUGGGAUGCUCCUGCAGAUAGUAGUCCGUCCACCAAGUAGAAACUCAGGAUCAAUGUUGGCUGAGCUGAUAAGGUUUUACAAGCCAAACCUUUGGUGAAUGGGUAAAAAUUCAUCAUUCCAAAAACCAUGACCGAGUUGUGCGAUGUCCAAUAAUUCCAGCAGCUCGGUGUCGAAUCAAGAGUGGUGCUUGACUGCACGUUGCCAGUUCAUGGAGAUCAAAUUUGCUCAUGUUUAGCCUGAUAUGUGUCCCGCUGGGAUUCGGUGAGUUUCAACUGCCGAUCCAUGGCGUUGCAUCCUGUACUACUAUUAGCAACAGAAGAGAAACUUAUCUAUUGUCGUACAACAGUUGUCAAAAUCAGAGCGAAUCGAGACUGAUAUGGUUUUUGGUAAUACUGUAAUCUUCUGGUACCACCGACUUUUGAACGCCCUGACUAGUUGUGCUGCUUCUUGGAGAGGAAUGUUAUGGAGUACGUAUGGAUGUUCUUCAUUUCA